rnacentral:rRNA from 1 species
UACAUGGGGUGCAAACGUUGCUCGGAAUCAUUGGGCGUAAAGCGCGCGUAGGCGGUUACUUAAGUCGAAUGUGAAAGCCCUCGGCUUAACCGAGGAAGUGCAUCCGAAACUGAGUAGCUAGAGUACGAAAGAGGGUCGCGGAAUUCCCGGUGUAGAGGUGAAAUUCGUAGAUAUCGGGAGGAACACCGGUGGCGAAGGCGGGUCUCUGGGCCGUAACUGACGCUGAGGAGCGAAAGCGUGGGGAGCGAACAGG